UACGUAGGGGGUAAGUGUUGUUUGGAUUUAUUGGGCGUAAAGCGCGUGUAGGCGGCCAGGUAGGUCCGCUGUGAAAACCCGAGGCUCAACCUCGGGACGUCGGCGGAAACCAUCUGGCUAGAGUCCGGAAGAGGAGAGUGGAAUUCCCGGUGUAGCGGUGAAAUGCGCAGAUAUCGGGAAGAACACCCGUGGCGAAGGCGGCUCUCUGGGACGGUACUGACGCUGAGACGCGAAAGCGUGGGGAGCGAACAGG
rnacentral:rRNA from 1 species